rnacentral:tRNA from 1 species
GGGGGUGUGGCUCAGUGGUAAAGUUCAUGCUUAGCAUGCAAGAGGGCCUGAGUUCAAUCCCCAGAAUCUCCA